AUUGAACGCUGGCGGCAGGCUUAACACAUGCCAGUCGAGCGAGCGGCGGACGGGUGAGUAAUGUCUGGGCAACUGCCUGAAGGAGGGGGAUCCAUACUGGAAACGGUAUCUAAUACCGCCUACCCUCAGAUGUCCCCAGAUGGGAUUAGCUAGUAGGUGGGGGAAUGGCUAACCUAGGCGACGAUCCCUAGCUGGUCUGAGAGGACGACAAGCCACACGGGAAAGGAGACACGGUCCAGACUCCGACGGGAGGCAGCCGUGGGGAAUAUUGCACAAUGGGCGCAAGCCUGAUGCAGCCAUGCCGCGUGUGUGAAGAAGGCCGUCGGGUUGUAAAGCACUUUCAGCGAGGAGGCGUUACUCGCAGAAGAAGAACCGGCUAACUCCGUGCCAGCAGCCGCGGGAAUAC
rnacentral:rRNA from 1 species